UACGUAGGGGGCGAGCGUUGUCCGGAUUUAUUGGGCGUAAAGAGCGUGUAGGCGGUUUGGUAGGUCCGCUGUGAAAACUCGAGGCUCAACCUCGAGACGCCGGUGGAAACCAUCAGACUAGAGUCCGGAAGAGGAGAGUGGAAUUCCGUGGUGUAGCGGUGAAAUGCGCAGAGUAUCAGGAAGAACACCCGUGGCUAAGGCGGCUCUCUAGUACGGUACUGACGCUGAGACGCGAAAGCGUGGGGAGCGAACAGG
rnacentral:rRNA from 1 species